rnacentral:rRNA from 1 species
AAAUUGAAGAGUUUGAUCAUGGCUCAGAUUGAACGCUGGCGGCAGGCCUAACACAUGCAAGUCGAACGGUAACAGGAAGCAGCUUGCUGCUUUGCUGACGAGUGGCGGACGGGUGAGUAAUGUCUGGGAAACUGCCUGAUGGAGGGGGAUAACUACUGGAAACGGUGGCUAAUACAGCAUAACGUCGCAAGACCAAAGAGGGGGACCUUCGGGCCUCUUGCCAUCAGAUGUGCCCAGAU